rnacentral:rRNA from 1 species
UACGGGGGGAGCAAGCGUUGUUCGGAUUUACUGGGCGUAAAGGGCGCGUAGGCGGCCAGCACAAGUCAGUUGUGAAAUCUCCGAGCUUAACUCGGAACGGUCAACUGAUACUGUGCGGCUAGAGUGCAGAAGGGGCAACUGGAAUUCUUGGUGUAGCGGUGAAAUGCGUAGAUAUCGGGAGGAACAUCAGUGGCGAAGGCGGCUACCUGGCCCAAUACUGACACUCAGGUGCGACAGCGUGGGGAGCAAACAGG